UAGGGAAGUGUGUGAGCCAGCUGUCAAGAAAAGCCGCUAUUGCGUAUACAGUACCCGUACCGUAAACCGACACAGGUGGAUGAGGAGAGAAUCCUAAGGCCGGCGGAAGAAGUAUUGUCAAGGAACUCGGCAAAAUGACCCUGUAACUUCGGGAGAAAGGGUGCCUCGAAAGAGGCCGCAGAGAAUUGGCCCAAGCAACUGUUUAGCAAAAACACAGGUCUAUGCGAAACCGAAAGGUGAGGUAUAUGGGCUGACGCCUGCCCGGUGCUGGAAGGUUAAGGGGAGAUGUUAGAGCAAUCGAAGCAUUGAACUUAAGCCCCAGUAAACGGCGGCCGUAACUAUAACGGUCCUAAGGUAGCGAAAUUCCUUGUCGGGUAAGUUCCGACCCGCACGAAAGGCGUAAUGAUUUGGGCGCUGUCUCGACAAUACAUCCGGUGAAAUUGAAGUACCAGUGAAGAUGCUGGUUACCCGCGCCAGGACGGAAAGACCCCGUGGAGCUUUACUCCAGCUUGAUACUGGGAUUCGGUAUUGCAUGUACAGGAUAGGUGGGAGGCUGAGAAGCAUGGACGCCAGUCUAUGUGGAGCCGCUGUUGGGAUACCACCCUUGCGGUAUUGGAUUUCUAACCAGCCGCCGUGAAACCGGCGGUGGGACAAUGUCAGGCGGGGAGUUUGACUGGGGCGGUCGCCUCCGAAAGGGUAUCGGAGGCGCCCAAAGGUUCCCUCAGAAUGGUUGGAAACCAUUCGAAGAGUGCAAAGGCAGAAGGGAGCUUGACUGUGACACCGACGGGUGGAGCAGGUACGAAAGUAGGGCUUAGUGAUCCGGUGGUAUUAAGUGGGAAUGCCAUCGCUCAACGGAUAAAAGCUACCCUGGGAUAACAGGCUUAUCACUCCCAAGAGUUCACAUCGACGGAGUGGUUUGGCACCUCGAUGUCGGCUCAUCGCAUCCUGGGGCUGUAGUAGGUCCCAAGGGUUGGGCUGUUCGCCCAUUAAAGCGGUACGCGAGCUGGGUUCAGAACGUCGUGAGACAGUUCGGUCCCUAUCCGGCGUGGGCGCAGGAUAUUUGAGAGGAGCUGUCCUUAGUACGAGAGGACCGGGAUGGACUGACCUCUGGUGCACCGGUUGUUCCGCCAGGAGCAUAGCCGGGUAGCCAAGUCGGGAAGGGAUAAACGCUGAAGGCAUCUAAGCGUGAAGCCCCCCUCAAGAUGAGAUAGCCCAUGCGAAAGCGAUAAGACCCCUUGAAGACGACGAGGUAGAUAGGUCAGAGGUGGAAGCACAGUAAUGUGUGGAGCUGACUGAUACUAAUAGGUCGAAGGCUUAACC
rnacentral:rRNA from 1 species